rnacentral:misc_RNA from 1 species
GAAAUGCGAUAAGUAAUGUGAAUUGCAGAAUUCCGUGAAUCAUCGAAUCUUUGAACGCACAUUGCGCCCUCUGGCAUUCCGGGGGGCAUGCCUGUCCGAGCGUCAUUACGCACCCUCAAGCCCGGCUUGUGUGAUGGGCCCCGGCGUCUCGUUCGCGAGACGGGCCUGAAAGGCAGCGGCGGCGUCGACCCGAUGAGCCCGAGCGUAUGGGGACUUCUGUCACACGUUCGCGGUGCGGACCGGCGCCUGCUUGACUUUUCUGAUUAUCCAGGUUGACCUCGGAUCAGGUAGGGAUACCCGCUGAACUUAAGC